rnacentral:lncRNA from 1 species
CUACUAAACCCCUGACGAUGUUCCAAGGUGGAAUAUUCCAAUGACCUAGGAAGCCGAGCUCAAAUCCGGGACUCCUGGAGCGGAAGGAGGAAGAGGGAGGGAAGAGGGCCAGCAAAGCUGGACUUCGCACAACCUUCUGGAGAAAGAUGCUUCUCCGGGGUUAAUUGGCUGCAUAUUUGGUCUUCCAGAUUCUUCCUGCAUGGGGCAGGAAAAGCCUUUACUCUGUCACUGUUUGGAACUAAUUAGAUCUGUGAGCAGCAGAAAGUCUGUCUUCAAGCUUGCAAGAUGACUUCACGGAGCAGUGUCAGCGAGCUGGCCAGGCCCUCAUAGAAGGCACCCUCGGAGUCGGAGCAGGGCAGGCAGGGAGCCAGCAGGACGCGCCACUCCUUUGGUCGGGACCUGCGAUCCCUGGGUCCCCUGUCCCCAGACAGCCAUGCCUCCCUGGGUCGUUCACACGCAGCCCCCGAGGCUGGCGAACAGCUUGGCCUGAAGUGAAGAGCUGUGGGAAGAGAAGCUUGUAGACGGAGCAAGCGGAAUGAAGACCAGGUGGGCGGGGAAGGGCGGACCGGGGACCCAGACCCCACCUCUGCCUGUGGCUGACUCAGGACUCUGGGCAGUGUCUCACCUCAGCAUCCCCGGUGGAUCCUGACAGCUACCUUCCUGGGCUGGGAAGACCAGAGGGGAUCAGUGGAAGGGGUCUGAGCCGCUCACGAGCGGUACCUGGAGCUCAUUCUUAUCCCCAAAUUAAGAAGGAAACAAGGUUCAGAAAGGCCCUCCACUGGUGGAUCAAGCAUCAGCUGCAGGUUUUCACCUGCAACUUCAGAGGUGCCCUUUCCCUCUGCUAUCUGGAACCCCCCACCCUGGUCUUAUGCAGGCCCAUUUACAGAUGAGGAAAUUCCACCCAGGGCCCCAAGCCCAUGUUCUGUCAUGCGAGACAGCCCCCCAAAACCCUAAGGGAAAUGGAAUUCCUCGCCCAGCUGGUUUUGGGGGCGGGAGGCUCAGCCUGGGGAGAGAGGGUGUGGGAGGCGGGUGGGGACAGCAGAGCCCCCCCAGACCACAGCGGGGAAGCCCCAGCUCCGCAGGAAGCUGUGAAGUGCACAGUGUGUUCUCCCAAGAAAAGCAACCACAGGAGGCCUUUCCCCGUGGCUGCGUCACACCAGGCAGAACUAUGAAGUGGCUAUUAAUGUUUGGGAUUUCGUAAAUUAUUUUAAUUGAAAAGGAGGCUGCGAGAGUUCGUCUGUUCUCCUAACUGGCAGGGCUCCCCAGCGGUGUGCAGCCACCUCGAGCCCCACUGUUUUCAUGACCCACGACCCUGUUCUCGCCCAGCACCGGCUCCUACGGGUCACUCCCCGGGAUGAAAAACAAUAAAAGUAAAUAUAUAACAGCAAAGGCCCGGGGUUAAUGUCUUUAACAAGAUAAUGUUACUUAAGGGAACCAUAAAGCAAAUCAUUCUGCAGUAGUUUCUGGGCCGCGGCUCCGAGCGUGAGGAGACUGCACCGGAUCACUCUGCAUGCGACGCCCGGAGAUUCGCGUCAGAGGGUUGGCGUAACUCCGCAAUCCCCCGAAACCCCUACGAGGAGUCUGGAAGCCCACUGGACGUGACCGUGGAGAUGCCAGCGGGUCCAUUCUCAUUGCCGCCUGCCGGGUUUCUAGGCUACUCAAUGUCCUGGCCCAGUUGGGUAAUGUUCCUCCCGUGGAGCUGGGUUUAGUGUGCACUGUGACAGGUUCACAUCUCCAUGGCCAGAAACCCGACUCCACAAGCAGAUGUGCGGCUGCCCCAUGCCAACAUCCAGCCCUUUGCAAACCAGGAGACGACGUUUGUGUUCAGUCUGGAUUUGGGCAGCAGGUAAACACCGGCUGACACUCUGAAGUACGGGAAAGAAGAGCUACACCAGAGACACGUGCUGCGGCCCAGCAUAUGGGCCCAUGGCGUCCUCUUGCCACGGCAUUGGGAGCCCCAAACAAGAAACCUCCUUGGAGCUGGGAACACAAGGGACCUGGAGCCACUCGAUGAUCCAGAUUUGGGGACAAGUGUCCCUGUGGAGACAGCAGGCAGGCACCCGUGCUGGGCUCGGGGAAGGGGAACGCUUCCUGGUAGGGUGCAUGUGUGGAUGGGGGAGAGGACCCCGAGGGUGGAGGCAGCCUGGGCCAAGUCCUGGGGGACAGAAACCCAGACUCCAUCUGGGUCUGCUGGACACCCAGGCCCGAUCACACUACCAUCCUUUCAAAAGCAGGUCCAACACACGCUGCAGGUGUGAUAAUCCUCUGCUCAUUCCUGUGACCAACACCUGAGAAAAACAAUGUAAAGAAGGGCAGGUUUAUCCUGGCUCACGGUUUUAGAGGAUUCAGUCCAUGGCCACUGGCUCCAUUGUUUUUAGCCUGAGCGAGGCAGAAUUAUCACGGUGGAAGGCAGGGAGAAGCUGCUCACCUCAUGGUGGUCAGGAAGCAGAGAGCACAUUCAAGAGGCAGAGAAGAAGGGCGAGGGGCCAGAUCUAGUCCCCAGGGUCACCCUCAAGGUCACUCCCCUCAUCAGGCCCUACCUCCUAAUCCCAGGGUACCCUCAUCAUCCCAGCCCAAAAGCUCAUCCACUGGGCUCUGGGGACCUUCCAGAUCAAAACCUUAACAGCUGGCUACCAGCCCCCAUACUGGUCCCCAGGAUCUGUCUUCUGUGCUAGUUUCUGCUAUCAAAUAAAUAAUUUUAAAGCACC